GCUUGCCAGUGCUCCAGAGGGCUGCUUCCUGAUUGUUCCCUGUCGGUGCAUCAGCUCUGGCCUGGGCAAACCAGCACACAUCUCUGCCAUCCAGGGGGCUGCAACUACACCUUCUCUAACAAGGUCUGAAUCCAGUUGAGAGAGCCUUCCUACAAGGUUUGUUCUUCCCUAGGUACUUUUCCAAAGCUCUAUGGCACCUUUAUAGAGUUCUCUUACAUCUUAAAAUUACUCUUUUAUUGUUCUAGUUAAUAAUUCUAUUACACUUCACCUGUUUAAGCCACUGUGCGAUUUCUGUCUCCUGAUUAGGCCCAGGGCGAUACAAUGUUCAUCAAUAAUAAAAUAAAUCCAUACACUGUGGUAGAGUCACACAAUAGAUACUCUAUAGGCAAUAAAACAAAUGAACUAACUUCUGGUUUCUGGUCUGGUGGGUCCGGAGUUUAGAGGUUGCUGCUCCAUCCUAACAACAAGCAAAAAGCUGAACAAGCUGAAAAACAAACAAUUCUUCUUAGAUCCGUGAGGGAAGUGAAGUCACGGAGCAAACCGCUGCCCCCUGAACAAGAGAGACAGACAGGUGGAUACGGAGAAUCACAACGUACCCGAGCAGAAACCCAUGAGUAGAAACCUCCACGGGAACCAGUGCCAAGGCCUCCUAUUAGUCAACAGAUUCCAGACUUUAAAGUAAAGUUAAAGAGUCUUAAAACUUCAUGUGGACCCAAAUAUCAGGAUGUGCAAGAUUUGAGGAUAUAGUUCUCAAACGAUGUGAAGUUUGAGCUGUGUGGAACAAGUAGCACUGCCUUUCUCAACACCUGGGUAAGUAAAGAGUCUACAGCCAUGAUUGGGCUUUUAAGUCAAUUCUUCCUCCCUGGAUCUGAGGCCUGCCUGGAUGUUCUGCAGUGAUUUGGGGAGAGACGAUAACGAUGACAGCUAACAUUUAUGGACUACUAAGCAUGUUACACAUAUUAACUCUAAGAUAGAGUCCACAGACCCAGGUAGGCUGAAAGGGCCAGAUGAUGUUCUCAAUCAAAGCCACUUGGGUAGGGGGGAUUUAGUCCUAAACUCUAACUGUCAGGAAUCUAAAUAGAGAGAUAAUCAUCUCAGAGGGCAGCAGUCAGUAGUAAUUACUGCCCAGUAUUCACAUUACAGCUAUAAAACUAUGUAGAAGGUCUAGACAUGCUAAAUUUAUUUCCAUAUGAUGAAAAAUCUAGGUCAGAUAUAAACUGAAUUUUUACAAAGUUCCGGGUAGAAUGUGCUACCUAAUCUAACACAUAACCCGUCAAUUUUGGGGGGGAAAGUAUCUAAGCAAAAUGAGAGCUUUGCUUUAAAGGCCCAGUGGGUCUCCAAUCUCCUGGGUCCCCCGGUGCUCUUGGUGGUGUCUUCCAAUGUGAGAGUUAGUGUCUGAGUUUUACUGAUUCUUGGAAAAGGGCCAUGAGCACACUGAAUGGCUGGAUCUGAACCCAGUAAAGUGUCUCUUCUCCCAAAGACAAAGAUCAAUUUCGGAAUCACCAGACCCUCAGGGUGCUCAAACAACUACUCCACAUGUACCCUCACUUUCUCCCUCCAAAGACACAGUAAACUGUGAGCAAGGAGACAUUCCAAGUGGAAUAGAUCUGUCUUACUUGGCUUGAUGUCAAACUCUUUCACUGCUUUGGUACUCUCUUAUUGCCCAAAGACAGCAAGGCUCAUGGCUUACCAAACCCAGGUAGCAAGCUCUAAACAGCUUCCUAUGGUUUCAAGCCUGCUCCAUUUCCAUUACCCCUGCAUCUGGAAAUUCCACUGCAAACAGUGUAGUAAUGGACAGUGUAGCAGUGCAGCAACUCCUUGAGCAAAGCUGAGCCCCCUCAGAUGCAAAAAUUAUAUGUCUAGACCAAAAUAUAUGUCUAAAUGAGGUCUUCACCCUCAUAGUGUUUAUACAGUCCUCAGUUAGAGUCAAGCAAAUCAGUCCUUAUAUUGUCUGGAGGAGCCUAUGGGUCCAGGUGGAGCAGAGUCUGCAUGCAUGAGGUCAUUUGCUUCAAUUCCAAUAUGUGAAAUCAAUGUCAACAUGAAACAAAUAUUCCUCUCACUUUUGUUGUCUCCUGUUCCAAUAGAGGGAAAGUUAUCAGGAGUCCCAUGAGGCAGAAAACCGUCUCUGUGAGCCCUGAUGCUUGGGCAUGGUAGGACAGAACAUUAAUGGAGCCCUCAUCACAUGGCCCUAAUGACUGGAGCCAUACACACUAGAACAGAGGCCGUGGACCCAGGAUACAUACCUGGCCCCAAGAUAUGUACAAGACCAAAAGGAAUGUUGACAGAUCAAGGCAAGAAACAACUAACAAUCAAAAAUAGACUGAACACAUUCUCCCAUAGAAAGCAUGCCCAUGAGCUCUGCAUGCUUCAGUCAGCGGAGUGAA